UGAGUACGAGAUGCUACGGCAUCGAAGCAGUCUAUGUCAUACUUCCAAGAAAAGCUUGCAAUGUCAUAAACAAAUAAUGCCUGUACCAUAACCGACACAGGUGGGUAGGUAGAGUAUACUAAGGGGCGCGAGAUAACUCUCUCUAAGGAACUCGGCAAAAUGACUCCGUAACUUCGGGAGAAGGAGUGCCUUAUUUUUAUAAGGUUGCAAUAACAAGAUCCAAGCAACUGUUUACCAAAAACACAGGUCUCCGCUAAGUCGUAAGACGAUGUAUGGGGGCUGACGCCUGCCCAGUGCCAGAAGGUUAAAGAAGUUGGUUAGCAUUAGCGAAGCUGAUAACUGAAGCCCUGGUGAACGGCGGCCGUAACUAUAACGGUCCUAAGGUAGCGAAAUUCCUUGUCGGGUAAGUUCCGACCCGCACGAAAGGCGUAAUGAUUUGGAUACUGUCUCGGAGAGGGGCUCGGUGAAAUAGACUUGUCUGUGAAGAUGCGGACUACCUGCACCUGGACAGAAAGACCCUAUGAAGCUUUACUGUAACUUGAGAUUGGAAUUGGACUUUAUCUGCGCAGUAUAGGUGGGAGACGUUGAAAAUAUUCUUGCGGGAAUAUUGGAGUCAUCAGUGAGAUACCACUCUUAUAAUGUUAGAUUUCUAACUUUGUAUCAUUAUCUGGUCAAAGAACAGUUUCAGGCGGGCAGUUUGACUGGGGCGGUCGCCUCCCAAACGGUAACGGAGGCGCACAAAGGUUUCCUCUGAACGUGUAGAAAUCGUAUCUAGAGUGUAAAGGCAUAAGGAAGCUUGACUGUGAGACCUACAAGUCGAGCAGGGACGAAAGUCGGUCUUAGUGAUCACGGUGCUGAGUGGAAAGGCCGUCACUCAACGGAUAAAAGUUACUCUAAGGAUAACAGGCUGAUCUCCCCCAAGAGUUCACAUCGACGGGGAGGUUUGGCACCUCGAUGUCGGCUCAUCGCAUCCUGGGGCGGUAGUACGUCCCAAGGGUUGGGCUGUUCGCCCAUGAAAGCGGUACGCGAGCUGGGUUCAGAACGUCGUGAGACAGUUCGGUCCAUAUCCGGUGUAGGCGUUAGAAUAUUGAGAGGAGCCUUCUUUAGUACGAGAGGACCGAGAAGGACAUACCUCUGGUGUACCAGUUAUCGUGCCAACGGUAAACGCUGGGUAGCCAUGUAUGGAGAGGAUAACCGCUGAAAGCAUCUAAGUGGGAAGCCCACCUCAAGAUA
rnacentral:rRNA from 1 species